GCCAUUCGUCGCAUUCUACGCCAGGUGGCUACCAACAAUGUCCUGGCGCAGUACAGCCUGAGGGGGAGGAGAGCAAAAAAGCCUUUCCAGAACUUAACCCUUUGCAAAAUUAUAAUGGAGGCCUGCAUGCAGAACUUCCCUGGCAAGAAGGUAGCUGAUAUUGAGGAGUGCAUUGGGCAUGCACUGAAGUUUGCACCACACAGACGGUCAGCUGGUCCUCAAGAUUGAAGACGUACACCAACUUCUAUGCACACGCACCCGUUUUUGGCAUUUCUAAAAUUUUUCUUAUUUUUUGCCUUUAUUGUAUUUUAUUAAGAAAUAGUUUUCAUAAUUGUCUAUAGUUGUCAGAUGUUUUAUAAUGUAUAAUAAUGUUGCACUGUGUUGCUGAUGUCCUUACCAA